CUCAUCUACAGGUGCGAUUGCAUCAUUCACCUGCAGGAUAGUCACGUCAGGUGACUGACUAUUCCUAAAAUGUACCUCUAUUGAGUCAGGUCUUUCUUCUAUCACAUGGCAGUUACGAUCAGAUCGAACAUGUGAUUUCUCAUAGGUUAUGGGAACCUUAGCUUGUGACCAUACAAUUCCAUUCACACAGUCAAUAAUUGUGUUAAGUCUUCUGAGUAUGUCUAUACCCAGAAUCAGU